GCAAACUUGGUCAUUUAGAGGAAGUAAAAGUCGUAACAAGGUUUCCGUAGGUGAACCUGCGGAAGGAUCAUUACAAAUCCAAAACAAUUACCCGUUAUAAUGUUCUCGGCCUUGGCAAGCAAUGAUGUGUGUGAUAUCUCUGUGUGUGUUGUCACACGUGUGGGGUAUCACUAUCAUGAUGCGUCGUUAUGGUGUGUGGACGUCGAAAGUGUGUAAGUGGUUUGGGAGAGAGGAGCGAGGGACCCUGUCUCUUACUCUAGCGCCCAUCCAUUCCUCGCCCGUCGUACACAUUCAACAUCCUAACACCAAGGUCCGACUUAAUGACUUUAACCAUGGACAUACGGUAACCAUGUCGUUAACUCGACAAAACCAAAAACAACUUUUAACAAUGGAUCUCUAGGCUCUUGCAUCGAUGAAGAACGCAGC
rnacentral:misc_RNA from 1 species